AUCGCUUCUCGGCCUUUUGGCUAAGAUCAAGUGUAGAGAUUUGGGUGGUUAAAUUAUCAAUUUAGAAACAAAGUUCUGAGCACUUGGGAGAAAUGUGAAGGCCAUCUUUUUCCAAUGUCCUACCCAGUGUAGGAUUCACCCU
ensembl:snRNA U2 U2 spliceosomal RNA